UCGCUACUACCGAUUGAACGAAUUAGUGAGUUUCAGGGACAGUCGACUCGUGUUGGGUUUCCUUCGCUUGUUGACCGGAACUGACACAAACUUGUGCGUUUAGAGGAAGUAA
rnacentral:rRNA from 1 species